rnacentral:rRNA from 1 species
UCGCGAAAACUUCGCAAUGGGGGCAACCCCGACGAGGGAAUUCCAAGUGCUAGCACUUUGUGUUAGCUGUUCUCCUGUCUAAAAAACAGGAGGAGUAAGGGGCGGGUAAGACGGGUGCCAGCCGCCGCGGUAAUACCCGCGCCCCAAGUGGUGGUCGAUAUUAUUGAGCCUAAAACGUCCGUAGCCGGUCUUCUAAAUCCUUGGGUAAAUCGGGCAGCUUAACUGUCCGAAGUCCGGGGAGACUGGGAGACUUGGGACCGGGAGAGGUCAGAGGUACUUCUGGGGUAGGGGUAAAAUCCUGUAAUCCUGGAAGGACCACCGGUGGCGAAGGCGUCUGACUAGAACGGAUCCGACGGUGAGGGACGAAGCCCUGGGGCGCAAACG